rnacentral:rRNA from 1 species
AACGAACGCUGGCGGCAUGCCUAACACAUGCAAGUCGAACGAGACCUCCGGGUCUUGUGGCGCACGGGUGCGUAACGCGUGGGAACCUGCACUUAGGUUCGGCAUACCUCCCCGAAAGGGGUGCUAAUACCGGAUAAUGUCUUCGGCCCAAAGAUUUAUUGCCUUUGGAUGGGCCCGCGUUGGAUUCGCUAGUUGGUAGGGUAAUAGCCUACCACGGCGACGAUGCAUAGCUGGUCUGAGAGAAUGGUCAGCCACACUGGGACUGAGACACGGCCCAGACUCCUACGGGAGGGAGGAGAGGCGAAUAGUGGACAAUGGGGGAAGGCAUGAUGCAGCAAUGCUGGGUAAGUGAUGAAGGCCGUAGGGAUGUAAAGCGCUUGUACCCGGGAUGAUAAUGACGGUACCGGGAGAAUAAGCUCCGGCUAACUACGUG